AACGAACGCUGGCGGCAUGCCUAACACAUGCAAGUCGAACGAGACCUUCGGGUCUAGUGGCGCACGGGUGCGUAACGCGUGGGAACCUGCCCUUAGGUUCGGAAUAACUCCCCGAAAGGGGUGCUAAUACCGGAUAAUGUCUUCGGACCAAAGAUUUAUCGCCUUUGGAUGGGCCCGCGUUGGAUUGGCUAGUUGGUAGGGUAAAAGCCUACCAAGGCGACGAUCCAUAGCUGGUCUGAGAGGAUGAUCAGCCACACUGGGACGGAGCCACGGCCCAGACUACUACGGGAGGGAGGAGUGGGGAAUAUUGGAAAGUGGGCGAAAGCCUGAUCGAGCAAUGCCGCGUGAGUGAUGAAGGCCUUGGGGUUGUAAAGCACUUUUACCCGGGAUGAUAAUGACGGUACCGGGAGAAUAAGCACCGGCUAACUCCGUG
rnacentral:rRNA from 1 species